rnacentral:rRNA from 1 species
UGCCAGCCGCCGCGGUAAGACGGAGGGCGCAAACGUUGUUCGGAAUCACUGGGCAUAAAGAGCACGUAGGCGGUCAUUUAAGUCAGAUGUGAAAGCCCCCGGCUCAACCGGGGAACUGCAUUCGAUACUGGGUGACUGGAGGAAGGUAGGGGUGAGUGGAACUCCAGGUGGAGCGGUGAAAUGCGUAGAUAUCUGGAGGAACACCGGUGGCGAAAGCGGCUCACUGGACCUUUCCUGACGCUGAGGUGCGAAAGCUAGGGUAGCGAACGGGAUUAGAUA